GCUUACAAUGCAGUCGAACGAUGAAGCUGGAGCUUGCUCCAGUGGAUUAGUGGCGAACGGGUGAGUAACACGUGAGCAAUCUGCCCUUGACUCUGGGAUAACUGCGGGAAACUGUAGCUAAUACCGGAUACGACACCUUGGGGCAUCCCAGGGUGUGGAAAGAAUUUCGGUCAAGGAUGAGCUCGCGGCCUAUCAGCUAGUUGGUGAGGUAAUGGCUCACCAAGGCGACGACGGGUAGCCGGCCUGAGAGGGUGACCGGCCACACUGGAACUGAGAUACGGUCCAGACUCCUACGGGAGGCAGCAGUGGGGAAUAUUGCACAAUGGGCGCAUGCCUGAUGCAGCAACGCCGCGUGAGGGAUGAAGG
rnacentral:rRNA from 1 species